GACGAACGCUGGCGGCGUGCUUAACACAUGCAAGUCGAACGAAGUGGCGAACGGGUGAGUAACGCGUAAUCAACCUGCCCUUCAGAGGGGGACAACAGUGGGAAACGACUGCUAAUACCUCAUACUGAUGGCGGGGAUUUCGUCUGAUUAGCUAGUUGGAGGGGUAACGGCCCACCAAGGCGAUGAUCAGGAGCCGGUCAUAGAGGAGGAACGGGCACAUAGGGACUGAGACAAGGCCCAGACUCCUACGGGAGGCAGCAGUGGGGAAUCUUCCGCAAUGGACGAAAGUCUGACGGAGCAACGCCGCGUGAGUGAUGACGGCCUUCGGGUUGUAAAGAUCUGUUAUUCGGGACGCGGUACCGGAAUAGAAAGCAACGGCUAACUACGUGCCAGCAGCCGCGGUAAUUC
rnacentral:rRNA from 1 species